UACGUAGGGCGCAAGCGUUAUCCGGAAUUAUUGGGCGUAAAGAGCUCGUAGGCGGUUUGUCGCGUCUGCCGUGAAAGUCCGGGGCUCAACUCCGGAUCUGCGGUGGGUACGGGCAGACUAGAGUGAUGUAGGGGAGACUGGAAUUCCUGGUGUAGCGGUGAAAUGCGCAGAUAUCAGGAGGAACACCGAUGGCGAAGGCAGGUCUCUGGGCAUUAACUGACGCUGAGGUGCGAGAGCGUGGGGAGCGAACAGG
rnacentral:rRNA from 1 species